rnacentral:rRNA from 1 species
UACAGAGGGUGCGAGCGUUAAUCGGAAUUACUGGGCGUAAAGCGCGCGUAGGCGGCUUUGCAAGUCGGGUGUGAGAUCCCCAGGCUUAACCUGGGAACUGCAUUCGAGACUGCAUUGCUAGAGUAUGGGAGAGGGAAGUGGAAUUUCCGGUGUAGCGGUGAAAUGCGUAGAUAUCGGAAGGAACAUCAGUGGCGAAAGCGACUUCCUGGACCAAUACUGACGCUCAUGUGCGAAAGCGUGGGGAGCAAACAGG